rnacentral:lncRNA from 1 species
UCUGUGAACGUCUCCAGCGUUUCUUGCUUAUCGCUUCCUCUUCUGUUCCCUCAGAUGCGUAAGAAGAGCCCGGUGAUCUCUCCAGAUGAGCAGGACGACCGCAGAGACACGUCGCCUGAGGAGCAACCACAGCUGACGACCAAACCGACCGAUGCAGAAGAAAACUGCAAGAAUACUGAAGAUGUGGAAUCUGGAAAUGCCUUGGAGAACAAGGAGAAAGCGGCCUUGUCCCGAUCGGCCUCCAUUAAAGAGUCUCUUCUGAAGGCUGCGGGUCCUAAACCGGUGCUGAACGAGGACCAAUCAGAGCCCAAACACACGAGUCAGCUGGAGUACCGCAGGACUCUGGCCACUCAGAACAGCGUACAGACGGCCGUCAUGGUGCGCGUGGGCACUGAGGAAGACGAGGAGGAAGAGGAGGAGGAUGAGAAGCCCUCUAGUCAAGAGCAGGACGUGUCGUAUGAGCUGAGCAACAGCAAACACAGCACACUGAUGUCAGGUGGGCACUGAAGAUGAGCUCUCUUCUCCAUUAAACUGCCUUCAGAACAUUUGAAAGACCUUCUCCUUACUGCUCUGUGUAUCUGAAACUGGAACCACUAACACUAUUUGGAUUUGCAUUUGAAACUUUUUAGUGAAUAAUAU